ACGGUUAUAAAUCAACAUAUUGAUUUAUAAGCAUGGAAAUCCCCUGAGUGAAACAACGAAUUGCUGUGUGUAGUCUUUGCCCAUCUCCCAUGAUGGGCUUUUUUUUUA
rnacentral:other from 1 species